rnacentral:rRNA from 1 species
AUUGAACGCUGGCGGCAUGCUUUACACAUGCAAGUCGAACGGCAGCGCGGGCUUCGGCCUGGCGGCGAGUGGCGAACGGGUGAGUAAUACAUCGGAACGUGCCCAGUAGUGGGGGAUAGCUCGGCGAAAGCCGGAUUAAUACCGCAUACGACCUGAGGGUGAAAGCGGGGGAUCUUCGGACCUCGCGCUAUUGGAGCGGCCGAUGGCAGAUUAGCUAGUUGGUGGGGUAAAGGCCUACCGAGGCGACGAUCUGUAGCUGGUCUGAGAGGACGACCAGCCACACUGGGACUGAGACACGGCCCAGACUCCUACGGGAGGCAGCAGUGGGGAAUUUUGGACAAUGGGCGAAAGCCUGAUCCAGCAAUGCCGCGUGUGUGAUGAAGGCCUUCGGGUUGUAAAGCACUUUUGGCGGGAACGAAAAGGACUGUGCCAAUACCACGGUUCGAUGACGGUACCCGCAGAAUAAGCACCGGCUAACUACGUG